UUUUGUUAUUCAUUAUUCAAAAUGUUGUUGAAUGGUUUUAGGUAAAGUAUAUUAAUAAGUAUCAUGACAGUCUUAACACUUUCAUACUUUAAGACUUCCACUGAUGUGUCCAAGAAUUAGUGUCCUUUUUUAUAUAUAUCAGAAUCACAAAAAUUAUCCAGCCUUACUUUUGUACUCUGUAUUUCUGUGUGAUUCCUGUAUGGUGCUACAUGUCAUCCCCUGAAAAUUCAAAUAACUUAAGUAGACUAUUGAAAGAUAAAUUCAAAGGAAGGUAAAUUAAUUUCUUGUCUAGAAAGGUAAGGGCUCUCAGAGAGAAUUGAUUUUCAUAAAAUGGAUCAAAAAGACAAGAGUGUUAGGAUGAAUGCAGUUUGGGUUUUUUCUUUCUAGUCCAUUCCUCAGUUCUGCCCUUCUUCUGUACUGACAAGUAAUUUAGUGGGAAUGGAAAAGUGAUAGAACAAAAAUGCACUGAUGAGAAAAUGAUUAGCCU
rnacentral:lncRNA from 1 species